UGGAUAGCUCAGUUGGUUAGUGUGUGGUGCUGACGGCGCCAAGGUUGCAGGUUUGAUCCCCGUCUGGGACAG